rnacentral:lncRNA from 1 species
AUAUUUUAAUUUCCAAGGUGUCAUUAACAAAAUGCAAGAAAAAUAGUACAUUGAAAAAUGGAAACUUUCUGUAAACGGCAUCUUUGCAAGUGCCAUUGGGGCACAUUUUAACAAAAGUGGUCUACAGUGAUAGGUGUUUUCUUUUUCUCUUAAGACUGACAAAAAAGAAGGAACUGGAUCGGGGGAAGGUAUACAGAAGUGCUUAUAUCUUGCUUGAGAUUUUGACGUCCUCCUGAAUUAUUUACUGCUUGUAAU